UACCACUAUUAAAGAAGCCGUCCUCUGAUCCAUUUUAGGACUUUUUUGAAUAAUAAGAUGUGCAGAUCGCCUCACCAGACACCCGCUGACAGGCCCAACUGGCAUUCAACGCUCAAAAUGGCUGCACAUCUGCCGGCCCCAGAGUCCGAGGGGUUUCCCGGGAUGUGGACUUUUCAAGGCUAACAUUGAGGCAGUCUGCAGCAAACUGGGAAUUUCGUCACCCUAGCAGAUGGAUGGACAGAGGACUAGAUGGGGAUGGAUGGAAAGAUGGACGAGAGAGUGACUGUAGACGAGGAGCAAGCCAAGGUACUGGAGGGUCUCCAACUCAUUCUCAUCUCACCAGCCUCAGCCCAGAGCUGCCAGCCCAGUGGAACCAUCUUGAGUUCUGAGGUAGGGGCAGUGUCCUGACGUGGGGGUCUGGGGGUCACAUGCUUUCUGUGGCCCAGCUCUGUCUUGGUUUGAAAGCAGUCUGCCUUCCAGAGCCGCCAACGCUGCCCCUCAUCUGGGGUCAUAUGAGCCUGUGUGCAGCCUCAUUUCUCAUCCUGGCCAUGGGGCUCUAGGACAGGACGCCAGGAGUCCAACGUGGCUCAUGUGCUGUUCCAACUUGUCGGGAGUUGAUGUACCUGUGCCCCAAAGGCCUCUGCCCUGACCGCCCUGCAGAUCCAAGCCUCAGCUUCAGGUCCCCCAAUCCUCCAGCUGCCCAGGCUGGGCUUGUGACAGGCAUGGGAGAGUGUGCGGCAGGUGUCCCUGCAUGCCUAGGCCUUUCUUUUUCAGAAUGAAAAUGUCCAGUUUGGGGGCACCUGGGUGGCUUAGUCAGUUAAGGGUCUGCCUUCGGCUCAGGUCAUGAUCCCAGGGUCCUGGGAUCAAGCCCCAAGUUGG